rnacentral:rRNA from 1 species
UACGGGGGGAGCAAGCGUUGUUCGGAUUUACUGGGCGUAAAGGGCGCGUAGGCGGUCAGCACAAGUCAGUUGUGAAAUCUCCGAGCUUAACUCGGAAAGGUCAACUGAUACUGUGCGACUAGAGUGCAGAAGAGGCAACUGGAAUUCCCAGUGUAGCGGUGAAAUGCGUAGAUAUUGGGAAGAACACCUGAGGCGAAGGCGGGUUGCUGGGCUGACACUGACGCUGAGGCGCGAAAGCCAGGGGAGCGAACGGG